GACGAACGCUGGCGGCGUGCUUAACACAUGCAAGUCGAACGGAAAGGCCCCCACUUUUUUGGUGGGGGUGCUCGAGUGGCGAACGGGUGAGUAACACGUGGGUGAUCUGCCCUGUACUUCGGGAUAAGCUUGGGAAACUGGGUCUAAUACCGGAUAGGACCAUGGUUUAGUGUCUCAUGGUGGAAAAAUUAUUGUUUUGGUGCAGGAUGAGCUCGCGGCCUAUCAGCUUGUUGGUGGGGUAAUGGCCUACCAAGGCGUCGACGGGUAGCCGGCCUGAGAGGGUGGACGGCCACAUUGGGACUGGGCUACGGCCCAGACUCCUACGGGAGGCAGCAGUGGGGAAUAUUGCACAAUGGGCGCAAGCCUGAUGCAGCGACGCCGCGUGGGGGAUGACGGCCUUCGGGUUGUAAACUCCUUUCGUUAGGGACGAAGCCGCACCUUUUUUGGGUGUGGUGACGGUACCUUUGUUAAGAAGCACCGGCUAACUACGUG
rnacentral:rRNA from 1 species